GCUAAGCUGUGUGCUCGAGAGGGAAACAGCCCAGACCGCCCGCUAAGGCCCCCAAUUCUCAGUUAAGUGGCAAAGGAUGUGCGUCCGCGCAGACAACCAGGAGGUUGGCUUAGAAGCAGCCACCCCUUCAAAGAGUGCGUAACAGCUCACUGGUCGAGUGGACAUGCGCCGACAAUACACGGGGCUAAACUGAGAGCCGAAGCGGCGGCAAUGAGAUUUCAUUGGGUAGGGGAGCGUCCCCAGCGGGGCGAAGCCGGAGGGUCACCGACGGUGGACUGCUGGGGAGUGAGAAUGCUGGCAUGAGUAGCGAGAGACGAGAGAGUAACUCGUCCGCCGUAAACCCGAGGUUUCCUGGGCGAGGCUAAUCCUCCCAGGGUCAGUCGGGGGCUAAGCCGAGGGCGGAAGCCGUAGGCGACGCGCAGCAGGUGGACAUUCCUGCACCGGAGAUGCACCGUCACGACCGACGGGGCGACGGAUUGGGGUGGCUCGGCGGGGUUCUGGACGUCCCCGUGAUGGAGCGCGGCCCGGAGACCAGGCAAAUCCGGUCUCCGCGAGGGCGAGGCUCCGGACGAAGCGCUUGAGCGAAGCGAGUGAGCCCGUGGUCCCCAGAAAAACCCCUAGGCAGGGGCAUCUCCGCCCGUACCGCAAACCGACACAGGUGGGUGGGUAGAACAUACCGAGGCGAUCGGGUCAACCAUGGUCAAGGAACUCGGCAAAAUGGCCCCGUAACUUCGGGAGAAGGGGCGCCGGCGCGUACGUGGACCCACUUGCUGGGCGAGCGGAGGCCGGCCGCAGUGAAGAGGCCCAAUCGACUGUUUACCAAAAACACAGGACUCUGCAGAAGGCGAGAGCCGACGUAUAGGGUCUGACGCCUGCCCGGUGCCGGAAGGUCACGCGGAGGGGUUAGCGCGAGCGAAGCCCCGAAGCCAAGCCCCGGUAAACGGCGGCCGUAACUAUAACGGUCCUAAGGUAGCGAAAUUCCUUGUCGGGUAAGUUCCGACCUGCACGAAAGGCGCAACGAAUUGGGCGCUGUCUCGACCAUGGACCCGGUGAAAUUCCACUAGUCGUGAAGAUGCGACUUACCCGCGGAAGGACGGAAAGACCCCGUGAACCUUCACUGCAGCUUGGCAUUGGCCGCUGGCCCGUCGCGUAGAGGAUAGGCGGGAGGCUUCGAAGCCCGGGCGCCAGCCCGGGUGGAGCCGACCUUGGAAUACCGCCCUCGGCGCGCCGGCGUCCUAACCCCAUGCCGUCAUCCGGAUGGGGGACCGUGCCAGGUGGGUAGUUUGACUGGGGCGGUCGCCUCCUAAAGGGUAACGGAGGCGCGCGAAGGUCCGCUCGGGACGGUCGGCAACCGUCCUCUUGAGUGCAAGAGCAUAAGCGGGCUUGACUGCGAGGCCUACAAGCCGAGCAGGUGCGAAAGCAGGCUCUAGUGAUCCGGCGGCCCCGCGUGGGUGGGCCGUCGCUCAACGGAUAAAAGGUACUCCGGGGAUAACAGGCUGAUCUUGCCCAAGAGUCCACAUCGACGGCAAGGUUUGGCACCUCGAUGUCGGCUCAUCGCAUCCUGGGGCUGAAGUAGGUCCCAAGGGUUGGGCUGUUCGCCCAUUAAAGCGGUACGCGAGCUGGGUUCAGAACGUCGUGAGACAGUUCGGUCCCUAUCCUCCGCGGGCGCAGGAGAAUCGAGGGAGGCUGCCCCUAGUACGAGAGGACCGGGGUGGACGCACCUCUGGUGAACCGGUUGUCGACCAACGGCACGGCCGGGUAGCCACGUGCGGCGCGGAUAACCGCUGAAGGCAUCUAAGCGGGAAGCCGUUCCCGAGAUCAGUUCUCCUUUCGGUAAGGGCCCAGGUAGACUACCUGGUCGAUAGGCCGCAGGUGCAAGCACGGCGACGUGCUCAGCCGAGCGGUACUAAUAGCCCGAGCUCUUACCCG
rnacentral:rRNA from 1 species